AGCGAACGCUGGCGGCAGGCUUAACACAUGCAAGUCGAACGCACGUAGCAAUACGGGAGUGGCAGACGGGUGAGUAACGCGUGGGAAUAUGCCUUUUGGUUCGGAAUAACUCAGGGAAACUUGAGCUAAUACCGGAUAAGCCCGUGAGGGGAAAGAUUUAUCGCCAAAAGAUUAGCCCGCGUCCGAUUAGCUAGUUGGUGAGGUAAUGGCUCACCAAGGCGACGAUCGGUAGCUGGUCUGGGAGGAUGAGCAGCCACAAUGGGACUGGGACACGGCCCAAACUCCUACGGGAGGCAGCAGUGGGGAAUAUUGAACAAUGGGCGCAAGCCUGAUCCAGCCAUGCCGCGUGAGUGAUGAAGGCCUUAGGGUUGUAAAGCUCUUUUGUCCGGGAAGAUAAUGACGGUACCGGAAGAACAAGCCCCGGCUAACUUCGUGCCAGCCGCCGCAGUAA
rnacentral:rRNA from 1 species